rnacentral:rRNA from 1 species
CCUACGGGUGACAGCAGUGAGGAAUAUUGGUCAAUGGGCGGGAGCCUGAACCAGCCAAGCCGCGUGAGGGAAGAAGGUACAGCGUAUCGUAAACCUCUUUUGUCAGGGAACAAAGGCGGGGACUAGUCCCCGGAUGAGGGUACCUGAAGAAAAAGCAUCGGCUAACUCCGUGCCAGCAGCCGCGGUAAUACGGAGGAUGCGAGCGUUAUCCGGAUUUAUUGGGUUAAAAGGGUGCGCAGGCGGCCUGUUAAGUCAGCGGUAAAAGCCCGGGGCUCAACCCCGGCGCGCCGUUGAAACUGGCGGUCUUGAGUUGGAGAGAAGUACGCGGAAUGCGCGGUGUAGCGGUGAAAUGCUUAGAUAUCGCGCAGAACCCCGAUUGCGAAGGCAGCAUACCGGCUCCACACUGACGCUGAGGCACGAAAGCGUGGGUAUCGAACAGGAUUAGAUACCCGUGUAGUC